AUCAUUCCCGAUCCUCCCUUUGAAAAAUUAGACUGCGCUUGUUCAUACAAAUCUCGUACCACAAAGCGAAGAACUUCAACCAUUUUUUCUUUUUUUGGUCCUGAAUAGAGCCUCCCAUGUGCCUCUGAGAUGCGAGGAGCAAUAAUCUUAUUUGU
rnacentral:ribozyme from 1 species